rnacentral:rRNA from 1 species
UACGGAGGGUGCAAGGCGUUAAUCGGAAUUACUGGGCGUAAAGGCGUGCGUAGGCGGUUCGUUAAGUCUGUUGUGAAAGCCCCGGGCUCAACCUGGGAAUGGCAAUGGAUACUGGCGAGCUAGAGUGUGUCAGAGGAUGGUGGGAAUUCCCGGUAGUAGCGGUGAAAUGCGUAGAAGAUCGGGAGGAACAUCAGGUGGCGAAGGCGGCCAUCGUGGGA